rnacentral:rRNA from 1 species
UACGUAGGGUGCAAGCGUUGUCCGGAAUUAUUGGGCGUAAAGAGCUCGUAGGCGGUCUGUCGCGUCUGCUGUGAAAACCCGCGGCUUAACCGUGGGCUUGCAGCUGAUACGGGCAGGCUUGAGUUCGGUAGGGGAGACUGGAAUUCCUGGUGUAGCGGUGAAAUGCGCAGAUAUCAGGAGGAACACCGGUGGCGAAGGCGGGUCUCUGGGCCGGAACCGACGCUGAGGAGCGAAAGCGUGGGGAGCGAACCGG